rnacentral:misc_RNA from 1 species
AAGUCGUAACAAGGUUUCCGUAGGUGAACCUGCGGAAGGAUCAUUACUGUAUGGGCUAUCCCAUCGAGAUGAUACCCUUUGUCUAUAAGUACUUGUUGUUUCCUCGGCAGGCUUGCCUGCCAAUGGGGACUACUUUCAACCCUUUGUAAUAGCAGUAGCUUCUGAUACUAGUAAUUAUUUACAACUUUCAACAACGGAUCUCUUGGUUCUG